GCCCGGCUAGCUCAAUCGGUAGAGCGUGAGACUCUUAAUCUCAAGGUUGUGGGUUCGACCCGUAAGUUCACCGUCGCCGACAUGGAGGUUGGUCACGACAGAUUGUCUAACAUGCAACAGCCACGUCGGGCUCA